rnacentral:tRNA from 1 species
GAUCUUAUAGUUUAAGUUUAGAAUUUGGUUUUGAAGGUACCAUGGUAUUAAUAUUAAGGUCA